rnacentral:rRNA from 1 species
AUGGACGACGAGACGACGGCAGCGGCGACACGCUAUGUGCCGCACGAGCUCGUCAUGCAGAUCCUGCAUCGUCUCCCUGUCAAGUCGCUGAUGCGGUUCACCUGCGUCUGCAAGGCGUGGCACGACACCAUCACCCGCGACCAGUCGUUCCAGCGCCAGCACCUCUGCCUCCAACAGACGUGCAUGCUCAUCGCGCCGUGGAUAAGAACCAACUACGGCGGCCAUCCUUAUGAAAGAAAGCUUAAGGUCACCACACCGGGCUUAUACCGGUGGGAGAUGAGCCAAGACGCCGCGACUCUCGUUCUAGCCAUGGACUCCUUCCCUGUGGUGGAAGCCGGCAGAAGGCACAAUUUGGCGCACUGUGACGGUCUUGUGCUGGUGUCCAUGGACGACACCGUGUGGGUUCUCAAUCCAGCUACUCGCCACGUCCUGCUUCUGCCUCAGAGCUGCAUAACCCCGCGUGGGCUUCGUAGGUGCUUUGAUGGGGCGCUGGGUCUUGGGCAUGACCCUCAUUCCAACACAUACAAGGUUGCCCGUUUCUAUUACCCCUCUGUGGACAGGCUCGAGAGAGGUGGUUACCACUACACCCUUGGGAUGGAGGUGUUCACCAUCGGGAGAGAUCAGCAUUGGCGUGAGACGGCAGCGCCACCUCCGUACCCUAUCAUGGCAGGUCGAACAGCGACCUUCUUCAAAGGAUCAUUGCUCUGGACAAUCGAUGAGUCGCUGUUGCUCCCGGGGGAUGUUGUACCUGCCCGAGGUUUCCUUCGCUUCAGCUUGAAUGAUGAGUCUUUCAGUGUCAUACCGGCGCCUCCUGGGUGCCCCGAUCUUCGAUACGCGACGUCCAACUUGGCUGAGUUGCGCGGGGAGCUAUGCGUUGCUCAUGAAGGGCCCAAACACAAAUCUUUCAGGUCGGCUUGUAUAUGGGUUUGCAAUGAUGUGGAUGGUUCGAAUCCACCACAAUGGGUUCAACGUCAUGUCAUGAACGUCCCACGUUGUAUACAUCUGGUAGCUACGUCUAAUGACGAUAUAUUGUUCCUAGGAGGAUCUUACAAUCUCAUGUGCUCUGAUAGCCAAAGUACAUUGGGUGUUAGGCAUGUGGCUAUCAUGCAUGACUUAGCAUAUCACCAUCCUAACACAAACACGCUUGUUAAGUACACAUCAGAAAUUGUCUAUGACUAUGGUGUAAUCCCCUACGUUCCAAGCCUGGUGUCAAUCUAG